GUAUACUUUAAUGAAAUAAUUUGUUUCUUUCAUUUUCUUACAGCAAUGAUUGAUAGUGUAGGUGGGCCGGUGAGGGUCAACAAUUUGUUGUCAACACUAAAUAUACCAACAAUUGGAAAUAAAAACAUGAAAAGAAAUGGAGAGACGUGUUGGAAAUAUCAUUGAGACAGCACUGGCUUCUAUGCCGACAGAAUCUGCUGCAUAAGAUCAAGGAAAUGGAGGAUGUGCAUCAUGAAGAAUCAAUGGUAUCAGAACACAACAUCAUGGAAGAUCUUAUUGACAAGAUCUCGGAGGAUGUCCUUUGCCAGAUGUUUGCCAGCACUAAAGUCUAUUCAUCAGUCAGAUGCUACAGUUACAAAUGACAGUGAAUGGUCAGAUUUAUACAAUUGUGAUUAACAAUCCUCAACAAUACAUCAAACAAAAAUGCCUAUUAAACUUUCUCACAGACAAAGGUUGAAAACAAAUCAGAA